AUACUAUGAUGUGGGCAUUUUUUAGUAUUGCUUUUAAUCGUUCUCAUGCUUGGUAUACAGAUUCAAUAUCUGUUUGCACGAAAUUAUUGAUUUCUUGCUUUAUUUU
rfam:Nicotiana sylvestris Nsyl_contig3912, whole genome shotgun sequence.